GAGAGGAAUCAACCCACCUAUCGUGGUGGGACAACUUUUUUGUUUCACUGUUCAAAAUAACUAUCCACACUUUCCAUAACCUUCCAUAGCUUGUGAGUUUACGUUCAUUCUUGAUCGGCUGUUCGACGAAAUGCCCAAGAGAAAUUCGGUUACUUGGAAUGCUCUGAUUAUUGGUUAUACUCAUAAUAGAAAGUUUAUGGAAGCUAUCAAUGCUUUCAGAGGAAUGCUGGCAGCUGGGACUGAACCGAGUGAAAGAACCGCGGUGGUAGUUCUAUUGGCUUGUUAAAGCUGGCAGCUGGGACUGAACCGAGUGAAAGAACCGCGGUGGUAGUUCUAUUGGCUUGUUCUCAUUUGGGAGCUUUAAAUCAGGGAAAGUGGAACUAUGGAUUUAUAUAUCAGAAUAAUUUGAGACUGAACGUGUUUGUGGGCACAGCACUCACUGAUAUGUAUGCUAAAUGUGGGGCUGUGAUGAGGCAAAGAAGGUCUUUGAAGAAAUUGGAGAGAAGAACAUCUGUACAUGGAAUGUCUUGAUUUCUGGAUACGUCAUGAAUGGGCAAGGCGGUGCAGCUUUGCAGGCUUUUUCUAUGAUGUUGAUGGAAAUUUUCAAGCCAGAUGAGGUUACCUUUCUAGGUGUUUUUUGUGCAUGUUGUCACCAAGGUCUGGUCACAGAUCGAGCGGGAUUGUUGGAGGAAGCUCUAGAGUUGAUCCAAUCUACGAGCAUGGAACCGAGUCUACAUUGAAAGGAUCGGUUGGAGGGACGAAAGCAGAGGUGGAAAGUUUAUAUUUUGGCUUUGUUGAUGAGAUGAUGGAAGGCAGUAG